CCUACGGGAGGCAGCAGUGGGGAAUUUUGCGCAAUGGGGGCAACCCUGACGCAGCAACGCCGCGUGAGUGAUGAAGGCCUUCGGGUCGUAAAGCUCUGUCAGAGGGGAAGAAAUGCAGGUGGUGAACAACCAUUCUGUUUGACGGUACCCUCAAAGGAAGCACCGGCUAACUCCGUGCCAGCAGCCGCGGUAAUACGGAGGGUGCGAGCGUUGUUCGGAAUUAUUGGGCGUAAAGCGCGUGUAGGCGGUUUGUUAAGUCUGUUGUAAAAGCCCCGGGCUCAACCUGGGAAGUGCAUUGGAUACUGGCAGACUUGAGUCCGGGAGAGGAGAGUGGAUUUCCCAGUGUAGGGGUGAAAUCCGUAGAUAUUGGGAGGAACACCGGUGGCGAGGGCGGCUCUCUGGACCGAUACUGACGCUGAGACGCGAAAGCGUGGGGCGCAAACGGGCUUAGUUCCCUUUUUAUU
rnacentral:rRNA from 1 species